rnacentral:tmRNA from 2 species
GGGCUUGUUUUGGAUUCGCUAUGAUUCAUAGAGUUUUGUAAGCACGUAGCAGUAGUCUGCUUUAACAACGUCGAGGUUUAUAAUAACCGCAAACAAUACACAUUUAUUUGCACGCGCUAAUAACAAUAUGAGCGCUGCAUUCGCUUGCUAAUAUAAUAUAAGCGGACUCACCCAAGAGAUUUCCUAUGUUUCUUGGCUUGAGGUUCAACACAGUAGGAUAUAUCACUACUAUGCUACUCUAAUAGUAACUGACGAAUCAUAAUAGAGUGUAGUUAGCUUUUGGUUUGUAUGUUCGCUUAGGGCUAAUGAAAAUUUAGAACAUAAUAAACGUGUAGAAAGCAAAAUGAAGUGGGUUGUAUACCGGGGUUCGAGUCCCCGCAGGUCCACCA